UACGGAGGGGGCUAGCGUUGUUCGGAGUUACAGGGCGUAAAGCGCACGUAGGUGGAUUGCUAAGUCAGGGGUGAAAUCCCGAGGCUCAACCUCGGAACUGCCUUUGAUACUGGCAAUCUCGAGUCCGGGAGAGGUGAGUGGAAUUCCUAGUGUAGAGGUGAAAUUCGUAGAUAUUAGGAAGAACACCAGUGGCGAAGGCGGCUCACUGGCCCGGUACUGCCACUGAGGUGCGACAGCGUGUGGAGCAAAUAGG
rnacentral:rRNA from 1 species